rnacentral:rRNA from 1 species
CCCCUAGAUGUUCUGGGCCGCACGCGCGUUACACUGAUGCAUUCAACGAGCUUAUAACCUUGGCCGAGAGGCCUGGGCAAUCUUGUUAACGUGCAUCGUGAUAGGGAUAGAUUAUUGAAAUUAUUAAUCUUGAACGAGGAAUUCCUAGUAAACGCAGAUCAUCAAUCUGCAUUGAUUACGUCCCUGCCCUUUGUACACACCGCCCGUCGCACCUACCGAUUGGAUGGUCCGGUGAAGCCUCGGGAUUGUGGUUCUUGCCGCUUUAUUGUGGCGUGACCGCGAGAACUUGUCUAAACCUUAUCAUCUAGAGGAAGGUGAAGUCGUANCA